CACAAUUAUUUCAGGGUCCCUCCGGGUGAUGUCUGGGCGGCCGCCUUGUUGCUGCAUGGUUGGCAUCCUCAACGCCUCCUGCCGCCAUCUCCCGCUCACUGAUCUGCCACAGUCAUUCAGGACAUGCCGAGGAGGAGUAAAGGAGGAGAGAAGAAAAGACAAGAAAGUCGAGAGAAUAAGAAUAAGAAACAAAAGCCUACAAAGUUCUUCUCUUACAAAGGUGACCGAUGGAGCUGGAAAGUGGUCUCGAUAUGCUGCUUCGUUUGUGAGGGUUCGUUGCUUCGAUGGUGGGCUGGGUCGUCGAUAAAGGCACAUUCAUUCCUGACCCGCCGUGGUAGCCGUGAAGACCUCCUCCCCACCACCACAGAGAAAGGGUUAAAACGAGCCAAUCAGGAUUAAUAGGCGCGCCUCUCCGCAGCACCGGCGGGCGGAGUGGCCGCAGCUGCCUGGCGGGGAGUUUUAAUGCCGCGGCGCCGCUGGGAAUCCCCCGCCGAGCAGCGCGGGAUGAAGGCAAGGCGGGGCGUUACAUCACUCACCACCUCCACCUCUGAUGGGCCCCCUGAGCAAGCCUCCAUGCAGCUACUCUAGCCAUCUCACCGUGGGCUAGACCAAUCCGUCGAGUGACUGCCUGGUGACGAACUACAUUACCAAGCGUCAAGUAAAACUUGUUGAAAAUUAUCACCUCGGUUUUCUCGGAGCCUGCAAAAAUAUCUGGUAGCUUCUGACCAUGAGCCUCUUCUCCUGUAACACCCUCCAGGCCUGUACAGAUGUGGCUUGUUAGGCCUGGCAGCAUCCUCCCUGAACCACACCUCGAAGGAGCAAGGACACCAAGUUGAAUAUUCCUACUCCCUUGGUGGUACCUUAGGAAAAUAUUAAAAAAUUAGUGUUGCAAGUUCUCUGUAAUAUAAAGGGUUCAGAAAGCUGCAUAAUAAACACAUUCCUGGGACA